CAACAAUGCACAUUCAUUAUCAAUGAAAUCUCUUUUUCAUCCGUCCCUGGUGGCCCUCGGGCCCGUUUUUGCGAUUCCUUUGAAGCAACAGAAGAUUGAUGAAGUUGUCCGCGUCGAUCAUGCAGGUGAGGUGGCCGCUGUUCGUAUUGCGAGGCACCAGCUUGAGUGGAUGUCGCCACUGGACGAUGCGUUCCCAAUCACGCAAGAAAUCCUGGCCGACGAACUUGUCCACCAGCGAGUGAUGUCUGAGCUUGCCAAGCAGCACGGUGUGCGGACCACUUCGCUUGAUCCCCUUUUCAAACUCGGAGCAUUUGCCUUGGGUGCUGGGACGGCAGCGCUAGGCAAGGGUGCGAUGAUGUGCUGCCAUGCAGCUGUUGAAACUACCAUUUUCAACCACUAUAACGAUCAGCUCCGCGAGCUCGAGGUGCUCGAGGACAGCUGCUCCGAUAUUAAAGAGAGCGAAGCCGAGAAGGAGGCCUGGGCGGAUGUUAAAAGCUACAUUGUGAAGUUUAGAGAUGAGGAGAAGCAUCACCAAGAGCUAGGGGAGCAGAACGGUGCUGAUCAAGCCCCUGCCUAUCCGCUUCUCUACAAUGGCAUACGACUUGCGUGCAAAAUUGGCGUUGCGUGCGCCAAGCGUAUCUGAGCUGCUCAUCGAGCUUGCUCGAACUCUUACCCUUCGAGUGUCAUUUCCUACGUCUUC
rnacentral:misc_RNA from 1 species